AAGUGAGAAUGCCGGUGUGAGUAGCGAAAGACGGGUGAGAAUCCCGUCCACCGAUUGACUAAGGUUUCCAGAGGAAGGCUCGUCCGCUCUGGGUUAGUCGGGUCCUAAGCUGAGGCCGACAGGCGUAGGCGAUGGAUAACAGGUUGAUAUUCCUGUACCACCUAUAAUCGUUUUAAUCGAUGGGGGGACGCAGUAGGAUAGGCGAAGCGUGCGAUUGGAUUGCACGUCUAAGCAGUAAGGCUGAGUAUUAGGCAAAUCCGGUAC
rnacentral:rRNA from 1 species